rnacentral:lncRNA from 1 species
UUGUGGCUCUACUCACUAUGGAGAAGAGAGAAUAUGAAUCUAAAAUUAAGAGUAAAUUGGCUCAACAUUAAUAACAAACUCAGCGAAAUUUCACUUAAGAUCUUCUCUAUAUAUGGAAACUAUGUAUGAGACAUGAAUCUAUUUUUGUGAAGAAGUUGAUCACAAAAAGGAUGAGAACAUCAAUGAAACUUGUGUUUGAAGGAAUUGGCAUGCUUAUUCUUGUAUGGUAAGUUGUUUUGUGUUAGUACCAUCUGUAUCUUUUCUUAUUUGACUUGCUCUUCUAAUGUUUGCAUUUGGUUUUGAAAUUGUUUGUUAAAGAAUUUGGCUAUUAGUUUGGUUUUCAAAAACACUUGUGCUAUAAUGGGUUUAGUUCUUGCAAAAUUUAUUUUUAAUAUUUGUGGGUUUGGAUUUGGAAUCUUUUAAUUCUAUGUUAGAUAUUCUAAAUAAAUCCUAAAUUAAACCAAAAUCAAAUCUACUAAGGGUAAUAAAAGAUAUUCAAUUCAAUUCAAUUGUACUAUGAAUGAAAAUAAUGUUGGAUAUCUAUUUUUUAGUUUUUUCAUGGCUUAGAACAUAACUUAUUUUUCUUUUAGUGUUUAGUCAUAAAUAAUAAUACAUUCGUUCCAGUUUAUAUGAACAUAUUUUCUUUUUAAUCCGUUUAAAAAAGAAUGACCCCUUUUUAAAUUUGGAAAUAAUUUUGCUUAAACUUACAAUUCUAUCGUUAAUGAGAAGCUUUUAUAACCACACAAAUACUCUUUGCCCCUUUUUGAAUUGUUUAGGACCACAAAUUUCAAAAGUUUUUAUUUUUUCUUAAAUUUCGUGCUCAGACAAACAUGCUCACAUAAAUUGAAACAGAGGGAGUAGUAUUUAUUAGUCGUACUUAUUUUAGCAACUUAUUAGUAAUUUUAAAUUAUGUUUGUUUUUAUUAUGGCUUAUUAAUAAUAUUUAUUUUAUGCGAUUUUCUCAUCUUUAUUUUGGAUAUUUUAGUACAAUGCCAUGAAUCAUCUCAUAUUUAUGUUAUUUUAUUAAAAAACACCUUAUAUAGUUCUGUCUUACUAGGAUUAAAGAAAUAUUUGGAGCAUAAAUUCUAUGUUUUGUGCUACGAAGACUUUAUGGAAAGAAAAACCGAAACAACCCAAAAAUCCGAAAUAUCCAAGAUUUAAAACCCCGACUUUGAUUAGUUUGGUUUGAUCUUUAAAUUUAAUAAUCCGAUAUAAUUAAUUUGGUUUGAUAAUUAAAAAAUUCAAACCAAUUCGACCUAUGUACGCGCCUCACAGUUAUUAGUGUUGAUGGUGGUUGAUAGUGUUACAGUGCGCUGGAGGCUAGUAAUAGAGGUUGUUGGUGAUAGUGACAAUUUGAUAACGCUUGAUGAUUGAUACUCUUUAUUUUUUUAAAGUGUUAGAGUUCUCUUGAGAUAUCUUGAUUAGUUCACCAAAUAUCUAGUACCUUUAAUUAAUAUUUAUAUUGUUGGCUUUAGCCAUCAAUUAAACAAAUGAAAAGAAAUACUUCAUCUCCUUAUUUCUUCUGCUGUACGCCACACUUGUAGUCUUGUUGAUGAGACGAUGAUGGUGUCUUACCAGAGUAACAUAAUCUUACAUACUACUUUACAUAUUAAGUGGGUGUUUGGACAUAAGAAUUGUAAAAUUUCAAAAAAAAUAAAUUUUUUUUCAAGUAAAUGUAGUAUUUGGAAAUUAGAGUUGUGUUUGAACAUGAAUAUAAGUUUGGGUUAUUUUUGAAUUUUUGUGAGUGAUCUGAGUGAAAAAUUUCGAAAAAUAGUUUUUUUGGAGUUUUUUAAAUUUUUCGAAAAAUUCCAAAAUUUAUCUUCAAGUGAAAAUUGAAAAUUUUAUGGCCAUUUCGAAAAUAAGUGAUUUUUUCCCGAAAAUAAGCGAAAACAAUUUCAUGGCCAAACGGGCACUAAGACUUGUCACGUGUAAUUGAACUAAUCGCCAGUUUGACCAAAUACAAUUUUUUUUUUUGCUAAAAGUAUUUUUUUUUUUGAAAGUUAUGUUUGGCCAAGUUUCUAGAAGGACCGGUUUCUAGAAGCAAAAAAAGGUACUUCUUCCCAAAAUAUUUUUUUGAAAAAAUACUUUUGAGAAAAAUACAUUUAAAAAUGCUAUUUAAAAGCGUGAUCAAAUACUAAUUGAUAUUCAAAAAUAUUUUUUAGAUUAAUUAGUCAAACACAAUCUACUUUUAUCAAAAAUAAUUUUAGAAAAAUUAAUUUUCAAAAUAAACAGAUUGAUGUAGGUCCAUCAGUGGUGAUUGAUGUUGGUCCAUAGGUAACUCUGUCCUUUUCCUUGAACAGAUAGCCCUAUGGUUGUUUGAUAUUUGGGGAGGAAUUAAAAAAUAGUUAGAUUUAUAAGUGGUAAUUGAAAAAUAGUUAAAGUUUCAAAAGUAAUUAAAAUUUAGUCACUUUUUAUGUAAAGAUAAAUUUGAACGAAAAUACUGUUCAAAAUUCGGAAAAUAUUCCAGCAUAAUAUAUUGGAGUUCGAAUUUUUUACAUUUGGAGUUUCAGCAUAAUAUACUUGUGUUCCAGCAUAAUAUACUGGAGUUCCAGCAUAAUAUACUGGUCCAGCAUAAUAUGCUGGAAGUUCAUACAUAUGUGUUCCAAUCUUCAGUAUAUUAUGCUAGAACUUUUUGUGUGCUAGAGUUCCAGCAUAAUAUGCUGGAAGUUCAUACACAUGUGCAUUAAUCUCCAGUAUAUUAUGCCAGAACUUUCCGUACUGUAGCAAAAUAAUAUUGGCUAUUUUUAAAUAAAUUUGUAAGUGCUGUUUAUUUUCAAUUACUAAUCCGAAAACUGACUAACCAGCGUUAUUUUCACGAUAUUUGGCCUGGUAUCAUGGUCCAACUUUUCCUGAAUUGGACUUUCGUCUCUAAGCUAUCACAUGCCUUGAGCUGGAAUACCCGGCAAAUAUGUACGUAAUAGGCAUUUUCUUCGUCCCAUUUUCUGUAUCAUACUUUUUUUUUUCCAAUCUCAAUGAAUAAUAAAUUUCUAUUUUCAAAACGAUCUAACUUUAAAUAUCAGUUUGCUUUUAACGAGUUUUAGCUACACAAAUGCACAUUGGGACGUGCUUUAGACCAAAUUUUUUUAUAAAAAAAUCUUAAGCAUCAUGCCUAAUAAAUACUUUUUUUUUUUGGUAACAUUGUGAAUAUUAUCAUUGAUCAACCAAAUGAUUAUACAUAUUAAGCAUUUUACAUCAUAAUCACCUCCUCAAAGGUUCUAUGAAUGCUCCAUCUCAACACUAUCUAUACAUCAAUGAUAUUCCUCAAGAAUUCCCUACAGCUAUUUGCCUUGACUUAUGAAUAUUACUUAAUCUAACUAAUGUUUCCUGCUUAAUCUGUUCUGUAGUAUCUGCACUAUUUACAUUAGCUCCUUUAAAGUUCUUUCAAUUUCUUGCCUUUCAUAUAUGAUAGAAGUCAACUCCCAUUGUUGAUGCAACUCUUUCUUUCUUUAACUGUUUCCAUUUCUUCUUUUUGAUGUUAUUCAUUGUGCUCGCUAUGUCUCCUUCUUGCAAUUGUACACCAAGCCAUCUCAGCAUCUCAGCACGAACAUUCUUUAUCCAGUUGCAUUCUACAAAUAAAUGCUGACUUGUUUCAGUUUUUUAUUCAUCACAUAAACAACACUCCACAUUGUCUACAUGAAUCUGCAACUUCACCAGCCUUUUCUUUGUUAGUAGUCUCCUUUGAGCUCUCGGCCACACAAAAAACCUUUGUUUUGGCUGUGCUACACUACUCCAUAUCAAAUUUGCUAUAUGCAGUCUUUGCAUUUCCCCUAGCAGUGCAAUAUAACUCCUAGUUAUUGAGUAACCACCACCCUUUCCCAAGUUGUACACUCCUUGUUCAUACCAUCUAUUCAUGUCCUCCUUUAAAGAGUUAAUCUUCUUUCAAUACCAACUACAAUCAGUUGGUAUCUUAUGAGUCCAAAUGUUAGUAUCAGUUUUCAUAUAUAGUCCGUGCACCCACUUCACCCAUAGAGCUUCUUUGUUAUUGAGUAGCUGCCAUAAUAAUUUCCCCACUGAUGCCACAUUCCAUAGUUUACUUCCUUUAACAUUCAGCCCACCAAAUUUCUUAGGAAAACAUACUCUUUCCCAUGCCACUAAGGCCAGUUUCCUCUUGUUUUCAAUACUCCCCCAAAGGUAGUCCCUACAUAUGUUGUCAACCUUUUUUACCACAACCUGAGGUAGGAUGAAUACAGAGCUUCAGAAGUUGUAGAUGGAGAACAUCACAGAAUUUACCACCUGCAAUCUGCCUGCAUAUGACAGCUGCUUAGAGUAUCAAGUUUUUAUCCUGCUGGUUAUUCUGUCUACCAACUGACAUCAAUCCAAUUUAUUCCAUUUCUUAGAUGAAAGGGGAAGUCCAAGAUAUCUAGUUGGGAAGGAACCUUGAGUAAAACCUGUUUUUGCUAAUAACUGCUCCUUUGUUAAGUCAUCCACCCUAGCAAUGAAAAUAUUGGAUUUAUCUUGUCUUGGUUAGCAAUUAAUCAUGAUGCCUCACUAAAGUGAUUCAAAGCUUCUACCACCCUAUUAAGUGAUGCCAGAUUGCCUUUUCAGAAGAUCAUAAGAUCAUCUGCAAAGAUCAAGUGAGUUAACUUUAGUUGCUUGCACAUGGGGUGAAACCGAAA